CCUACGGGAGGCAGCAGUGGGGAAUAUUGCGCAAUGGGCGAAAGCCUGACGCAGCGACGCCGCGUGAGGGAUGAAGGCCUUCGGGUUGUAAACCUCUUUCAGCAGGGACGAAGCGCAAGUGACGGUACCUGCAGAAGAAGCACCGGCCAACUACGUGCCAGCAGCCGCGGUAAUACGUAGGGUGCAAGCGUUGUCCGGAAUUAUUGGGCGUAAAGAGCUCGUAGGCGGCCUGUCGCGUCGGCUGUGAAAACUCAGGGCUCAACCCUGAGCCUGCAGUCGAUACGGGCAGGCUAGAGUCCGGCAGGGGAGACUGGAAAUUCCUGGUGUAGCGGUGAAAUGCGCAGAUAUCAGGAGGAACACCGGUGGCGAAGGCGGGUCUCUGGGCCGGAACUGACGCUGAGGAGCGAAAGCGUGGGGAGCGAACAGGAUUAGAUACCCUGGUAGUCCACGCCGUAAACGUUGGGCGCUAGGUGUGGGGAACCUUCCACGUUCUCCGUUGCCGCNGCUACGCAUAGCGCCCGCCGUCGGGAGGUACGGCCGCGAGGACGUAAACUUAAAUAGAAGUUAGACGGCGUGAGACGUGCCGAACGGACGACGACGAGGGAGGUAGG
rnacentral:rRNA from 1 species